rnacentral:rRNA from 1 species
UACGGGGGGGGCAAGCGUUGUUCGGAAUUACUGGGCGUAAAGGGCUCGUAGGUGGCCAACUAAGUCAGACGUGAAAUCCCUCAGCUUAACUGGGGAACUGCGUCUGAUACUGGAUGGCUUGAGUUUGGGAGAGGGAUGCGGAAUUCCAGGUGUAGCGGUGAAAUGCGUAGAUAUCUGGAGGAACACCCGUGGCGAAGGCGGCAUCCUGGACCAACACUGACACUGAGGAGCGAAAGCCAGGGGAGCAAACGGG